GCCAAAGAGACAAUUACAAGGUCUAAAGCAGGCUGUCAGGGCCUGUGGGGGCAAGAAAAACGGGCAUGAUGAGUUGCCCUGGGAUCAAGGUUUCAGUACAUUACAAAGGAGAGAUCCAAGGAGAAAGGGGAGGUUUAAGCAACAGCAAGAGAAGAAAAUUAAAUAGAAGUAUGUGGAGGUAGGAGAGAGGGUGAGACAGAGAGAGAGAGGGAGAGAGAGGGAGAGAGAGAGAGAGAGAGAGAGAGAGAGAGAGAG
rnacentral:lncRNA from 1 species